GUUUACAUAGUUUAGUGUUAGGAGAUCGCAAGGCUGUUAACCUUGAGAGGGUGUUUUGAGCCUGUAAACG
rnacentral:tRNA from 1 species